rnacentral:rRNA from 1 species
CCUACGGGGAGCAGCAGUGGGGAAUAUUGGACAAUGGGCGAAAGCCUGAUCCAGCCAUGCCGCGUGUGUGAAGAAGGCCUUCGGGUUGUAAAGCACUUUCAGUGGGGAAGAAAGCCUUGGGGCUAAUACCCUCGAGGAAGGACAUCACCCACAGAAGAAGCACCGGCUAACUCCGUGCCAGCAGCCGCGGUAAUACGGAGGGUGUGAGCGUUAAUCGGAAUUACUGGGCGUAAAGCGCGCGUAGGCGGUCUGAUAAGCCGGUUGUGAAAGCCCCGGGCUCAACCUGGGAACGGCAUCCGGAACUGUCAGGCUAGAGUGCUGGAGAGGAAGGUAGAAUUCCCGGUGUAGCGGUGAAAUGCGUAGAGAUCGGGAGGAAUACCAGUGGCGAAGGCGGCCUUCUGGACUGACACUGACGCUGAGGUGCGAAAGCGUGGGUAGCAAACAGGAUUAGAUACCCCAGUAGUC